rnacentral:rRNA from 1 species
UGGGGAAUCUUGGACAAUGGAGGCAACUCUGAUCCAGCCAUGCCGCGUGUGUGAAGAAGGCCUUCGGGUUGUAAAGCACUUUCAGUAGUGAGGAAGGCUAUUGGUUAAUACCCAGUAGUACUUGACGUUAGCUACAGAAGAAGCACCGGCUAAUUUCGUGCCAGCAGCCGCGGUAAUACGAAAGGUGCGAGCGUUAAUCGGAAUUACUGGGCGUAAAGCGCGCGUAGGCGGUUAGUUAAGUCGGAUGUGAAAUCCCCGGGCUCAACCUGGGAACUGCAUCCGAUACUGGCUAACUAGAAUGCAGUAGAGGGAAGUGGAAUUUCAGGUGUAGCGGUGAAAUGCGUAGAGAU